ACGGCAGCACGGACUUCGGUCUGGUGGCGAGUGGCGAACGGGUGAGUAAUACAUCGGAACGUGUCCUGUAGUGGGGGAUAGCCCGGCGAAAGCCGGAUUAAUACCGCAUACGCUCUACGGAGGAAAGGGGGGGAUCUUAGGACCUCUCGCUACAGGGGCGGCCGAUGGCAGAUUAGCUAGUUGGUGGGGUAAAGGCCUACCAAGGCGACGAUCUGUAGCUGGUCUGAGAGGACGACCAGCCACACUGGGACUGAGACACGGCCCAGACUCCUACGGGAGGCAGCAGUGGGGAAUUUUGGACAAUGGGCGCAAGCCUGAUCCAGCAAUGCCGCGUGUGUGAAGAAGGCCUUCGGGUUGUAAAGCACUUUUGUCCGGAAAGAAAACCUCCGCCCUAAUAUGGUGGGGGGAUGACGGUACCGGAAGAAUAAGCACCGGCUAACUACGUGCCAGCAGCCGCGGUAAUACGUAGGGUGCAAGCGUUAAUCGGAAUUACUGGGCGUAAAGCGUGCGCAGGCGGUUCGCUAAGACAGAUGUGAAAUCCCCGGGCUUAACCUGGGAACUGCAUUUGUGACUGGCGGGCU
rnacentral:rRNA from 1 species